rnacentral:rRNA from 1 species
AUUGAACGCUGGCGGCAGGCCUAACACAUGCAAGUCGAGCGGAUGAAGGGAGCCUGCUCCUGGAUUCAGCGGCGGACGGGUGAGUAAUGCCUAGGAAUCUGCCUGGUAGUGGGGGAUAACGUCCGGAAACGGGCGCUAAUACCGCAUACGUCCUGAGGGAGAAAGUGGGGGAUCUUCGGACCUCACGCUAUCAGAUGAGCCUAGGUCGGAUUAGCUAGUUGGUGGGGUAAAGGCCUACCAAGGCGACGAUCCGUAGCUGGUCUGAGAGGAUGAUCAGUCACACUGGAACUGAGACACGGUCCAGACUCCUACGGGAGGCAGCAGUGGGGAAUAUUGGACAAUGGGCGAAAGCCUGAUCCAGCCAUGCCGCGUGUGUGAAGAAGGUCUUCGGAUUGUAAAGCACUUUAAGUUGGGAGGAAGGGCAGUAAGUUAAUACCUUGCUGUUUUGACGUUACCAACAGAAUAAGCACCGGCUAACUUCGUG